rnacentral:rRNA from 1 species
UAAGGGGGGUGCAAGCGUUGCUCGGAAUUACUGGGCGUAAAGCGCGUGUAGGCGGUCUCGUGUGUCUGGCGUGAAAGCCCCGGGCUCACCCCGGGAAGUGCGUUGGAAACUGCGAGACUAGAGUUCCGGAGAGGAAGGUGGAAUUCCAGGUGUAGCGGUGAAAUGCGUAGAUAUCUGGAAGAACACCGGUGGCGAAGGCGGCCUUCUGGACGGUGUCUGACGCUGAGACGCGAAAGAGUGGGGAGCAAACAGG